rnacentral:rRNA from 1 species
CGGCCCAGACUCCUACGGGAGGCAGCAGUGGGGAAUAUUGGACAUGCGCGCAGCUGAUGCAGCCAUGCCGCGUGAGUGAUGACGGCCUUAGGGUUGUAAAGCUCUUUCCCGAUGACGAAGUGACUUAUGUCGGAGAAAAGGCCCGGCUAACUUCGUGCCAGCAGCCGCGGUAAUACGAAGGGGGCUAGCGUUGUUCGGAAUUACUGGGCGUAAAGCG